UGCCCAGGAUACAGCGAAGUGUUAAUCUGGCCCUGCUGGAGUGACAAAACUAACCGAACAAAUCGCCUCUAAAUCAUCUGGACACGCUCCUCCCACACCUCGCUGCAGCCGCUGCUGCUGCUUCUCGUUCUGGUCUGAUCACUAGUGCGUUCUUCAGUCUGAACACUGUGCGUCCAACAAGAGGCGUUUUGUGCUUUUUGGCCGCUUAAAACACAUUCAGUGUGAACGUAGCAUAACGUAACACAGAGCUCAGAGCUAAGCUUCCGUCACAGGUAAGAACAGACCAUCAACAAUAUAUUUUUAACUGUCAUGCCUUGCCCAUACUUUAUCUACACAAGUCCUUUUGUCAUAACGUUACAUGUAAAUUAUGUUGCACUCUUUCUACAAGUUAUAAAUAGCUAUCAAGCUAACAUGACACCGUAGCUGCAGAUUAGUAUUGUGUAAUGUUAAAGUUUAUUAUUUCAGCAACAUGACAAGCCUGUGUAAUAGUAUUUUUCAGCUCUUGUUUGCACAGUGUGACAUUUUAUCUUUAUGCUAUGGAGCUAGUUUUUGACAGUCAAUGGGCUCCAAACAGAAUGUCAUCUACCAGCUGAUGGACAGGGAAGCUGUGUGCUAGAGAAUCACGCAGGUCACGUGGGAGAUGCAGCAGAGUGGCUUCAGGUCCUAAGAACCUCAGCAGGCCAUCUGCAUCUCAACCCUACCCUCCACGCAUCAAGGCUGCGAGUGUGGACUUCCAGGACUGUUUUAAACCUCUUCAUGAGCAAUACAGUGGAUUUAUUCCCUUGAGGCUAUACAUUUUUAAUACGGUCUUGCCAUGUAUAAAACUUUUCCUAUUUAAAUUAUUAUUUCUAUUAGAAUUUUGGUAAAUAUUCUUCAAUAAAGUGUUAAAUGGU